CAGUCGCCGCGGGAAUACGUAGGGUGCAAGCGUUAAUCGGAAUUACUGGGCGUAAAGCGUGUGUAGGUGGUUGUUUAAGUCUGUCGUGAAAGCCCUGGGCUCAACCUGGGAAUUGCAGUGGAUACUGGAUCACUAGAGUGUGGUAGAGGAUAGUGGAAUUUCCGGUGUAGCAGUGAAAUGCGUAGAGAUCGGAAGGAACAUCUGUGGCGAAGGCGACUAUCUGGGCCAACACUGACACUGAGGCACGAAAGCGUGGGGAGCAAACAGGAUUAGAGACCCCGGUAGUCCCUGUCUCUUAUAA
rnacentral:rRNA from 1 species